CAUACUCUUUAAGAUAUAUAAUAAAAAAAAGUGGUUGCUAUUUAAAAAAAAUAUGCCCCCUUUGAUCAUCAGAAGUACGUCACUAACCACAAAUUCAAAGUACGUAGAUUGGUAGAAAACCUUUUAUAACUUUGGAUACCAUAAAAAGCUUUUUAAAAAAAUUUUUAUUUGAAGAUAUGUUCAGUGUUCCAGAUAAAAUAGUGUACGCUAGUUCUACUAGCAUAAAGUUGAAUGUCAAGAAGGGGAUUAGGUAACUGUGUCACCAAAAACGGAAUUAUUGUGUUAGAAGACUACGUUAGAAAACUUCACCGUGAAAUACGCAUGUUCCCGCCGCAUAAAUUGUGGUCGUUUUCGGUCAAGGACAGAUUACUUAAACGCGCUGAGUAUUUUCGCUGUGAGAGGAUUCAGUUAGUGUGGCGGUUAGUGAACAAAAGGGGAUUAAAUCUGUGGUGCCCGUAGUCGAAAAUACAUUACCCAUGAUUCUAUUUACGAGGUAUAGUGCUGACCAUUUAUUUAUUAUGUCAAAGCAUGAGUUAGAUAUUUAUAGGAGGCAUAGUCAUAAUUUGUGGUUGAUUAAAGUUGUUGUGGUUAAAGAACAAAUUUGGAUCUGUGAUUUCUUAGGAUAUCGGAUAGGAAAAUUUGAAGCCGUUUAUUUUGCAAGUACUUUUAUCGUUUAUGAACAUAUGGACAAUUCGAUUUAUAGGAAAAGUUUCAUUGAUCCAUCAUGACUAUUUAUAAGGUAAAUGGUACAAUAUAUACAAAACUGUAUGGUCGUUUGGCGUUUAAUUUUGCAAGCAAUCACACUCCACAAAUUCAAAGUUUGAAAUCAGGUUUCAGAGAAAUCUAGGAAAGGAGCCAUUUCUUGUAAGUACGUAACUGUAAACUUCUCGCCGUAGGUUAUUUUAUAAAACCGCAUCUUCCAAGGAGAGUGGCUUUCUGUGUCACACAUGUAACAUCUUUUCUCAUUUUGGCUCCCUGUGCACAACUUUUCUGCACUUGUGGCCCUGCUCCUCUAUCUCUCAGCACUUUUUGUACUUUGUUAUCUCCGCCUCUUUGUUUAGUCUACAGGGGGCUGCCCACCCAAACUCGAUGGAACGUGUCUAGUUUUACCGCUGUCAUUUUAUCAGCCUAGAGAUUGAAAUCCAGCAGCAAAUGAAUUCAACUUUCUCAGAGCGGUUAUACAGGAACCCUUAACCCUUAAACAUAUAGACAACCAAUGGGAGCAUUGAUUGUACUUAGCUGUGGGAACACGUCUCGAUAACACACUGGCCAGCAGCGAAAAGGCCACUGAAGAGAACUCCGAAUUACGGUCUCUCAUAUAACAAAGAGGACGGCGAUAUCAAGGGCUAUAUAGACGCAGACUGGGGCAACUCCGUCGACGAUUGUAAAUACCGCUAUUUCAUCUAUGUAUACUUAACCCUCAUAUUUAAGAGGGUUCAAGUUCCGGCUCGACUUUUAGUUUUUAAUUUUAGUUCAAACUCAAAUUUAAUUCAACUGUAAGGACCGGCUUAAGCUUCGGAGACACUACCUACACUUCCGUUGACGUACGAGUGUGUAACAUUGGGCUAAAUUCACCAAUACCUAUGAGUGCAGACGCCCUUGCCGAGAACUGAGCUCGACGUAUAACUUCAUGCAAGGUUUAUGAAUCCGGGAACUGAGUACACUUCUCUGGGUGACGUCCAACUUACAUUAAGAUUAUGCGAACGCGCCCUUUUGAGCCCACAUGGUUGCGAUCCGAAGUUCAGUGCAGUUCCGGCAGUACUUCUUCUAGAAAUGUGAGCCUAUCAAAUGAUCACCGACGAUGCCAGCCCAAACAUUUAAAGAAAAUUGUUGCUGAUGAUGGCCUUCUGUAAUUUCAUGUGGAUUUUUCAGCCCAUAUGUGGGUAUUGCGAAAAUUGAAAGUACCAUCUGAGAGGCUCCACCCCGUAUAUACAACUUACGACGAUGCACACAUUUUUUAGAGUUGGCAACCACGCAAUUUUUAGGAGAGGAAAGCGAUUUGCGCCAUCUGGAGAGCACGAACGUUGGUUACGUUGGGCAUGUUGUCUUGAAUGGCGG